rnacentral:piRNA from 2 species
UGUGACAUCUGUCCCAGAGUUGGC